rnacentral:rRNA from 1 species
UGAGGAAUAUUGCGCAAUGGGCGAAAGCCUGACGCAGCGACACCGCGUGAAGGAUGAAGGUUUUAGGAUCGUAAACUUCUGUUAAGUGGGAUGAAAGAGGGAGUUCUAAUACAACUCCAAGAUGACAGUACCACUAGAGAAAGCACCGGCUAACUUCGUGCCAGCAGCCGCGGUAAGACGAGGGGUGCGAGCGUUAUUCGGAAUGAUUGGGCGUAAAGGGUGCGUAGGCGGUGUAUUAAGUCACUUGUUAAAUUUCUCGGCUUAACCGAGAGUCUGCAAGAGAAACUGAUACGCUAGAGUAUGGAAGAGAGAAGUGGAAUUCUUGAAGUAGCGGUCAAAUGCGUAGAUCUCAAGAGGAACCACCCGAUGGCGAAGGCAGCUUCUUGGUCCAUUACUGAC